UGGAUCCACCUGACUCUUUCCUCUUCCUGCUGCCUACGUCUAGCCUGGCAUGGCCAGAGAGAUUGCAAAUACACCUCAGUGUGGAAACAGUGCAAUGUCUAUGUCAAGGGGGCGUUAUCAACAGGCACAGACCAAAAUGCUUACAACCAAUCAGAGCAAAGAAACGUGACCUGUCACUCAAGGAGCUGUCACUGAGCGUGGUGGUGAGAAACAUGGCUGCCUGGUCACAAACGAUCUCAAAUUACAGCUAAACAGUACACUAAAAUGUGAUUCUGAAAACAUUUGAUGCGAGAAAUAGGCAAUGCAGUAACGGAAUCUUGAUUCAUAUAUGAUCAGCACUGCCUAGUUUUACAGUUUGAUCCGAGUUUCGGGAGCUGGAUGUGUUGCACUGGAGACAACUGCAGACUAACAGCACCUACAACCAAUCAGAGCAGAGAAACGUGUCUAGAACGGUGACUGUGAUUGGCUCGUCUGUUUCUGGAAAAGAUAUCUCCGAGUAGAGGAGACUGUGUACGUCCAAGGAGGAGACGCACCGCAUCUGCUGCAGAUUUCACCUGAGACAGACCCUCAGCUGAGACCCAAUGGUGGCAUUCAACAGGGGACUCCAGACAAGGAAGGCCAAGGCCAGGCCAGCUCUACGGCAGAGGAUGCAAUGGGGAAGAUUUCACCUGAGACAGACCCUCAGCUGAGACCCAAUGGUGGCAUUCAACAGGAUUGGAGACAGCUAGCUGUCCUGUUGAGGAACCUCCAGGCAGCUCAGACGGAUUGGAGACAGCUAGCUGUCCUGUCGAGGAACCUCCAGGCAGCUCAGACGCAAUCAGCAAAAAGACUGUUGGGAAGUCCAAAGUGCCCAAAAGAAGAGACGCACAGGAACCACUAGAGUUACUUGAAGAAGCUGCUGAAAGGGACAAUCCUCGGAGGAAACAAAAACAACAGUGGUCUCUAAAAGAGGUCUCAGCGGUGAUGAGACACUUUAAGAACCUUCCUAAAAAAGAGAGUGAAGUCCAACUCCCUUUGUGUUUGUUGUUCAAAGCCCUCUGAUGAUGGCUGCUGUGCGGCCAAACAGGGAACUGACUGUCACUGUUUUCAAAACAGAAAUAAUUAAACAUGGCUUCUUCUUUACUGAGUAUGCUGUGAUAUGUUCUCUUGUCUAUUUAAAGAUCAUACUCAAUGUAGAAAAACAGUCAUAUGACACAUAACACUAUAUAAAAAUCACUACACAUACAGGUUUGGUUAUAUUGUCUGUUACAGUAAACCAGCUCUGCAUUACAGACAUACCUCAUGUAUGGGGAUAUACUUUGUGUUUUAUAGAACAGGCAGUCCUCAUAUAUCGGGUGUGUCCUUUUAAAGCACAAUGUCUUCACUGUAGUGUGUGUGUUUUCCCGUUCCAUUAAUUCAUGUUUGACCCUUUAAUACACUUCAGUGCCGUUUUUGUGUGUUGUAUAGCCACUGUCCUCACAAAUGGUGUUAGUCCUUAUAAUAACGCUUUAUGUCAUGGGUGGGGCUUAUUAUCAAAUUAAUUAUUGUCCACAUAAUGAUGCAUAUUGUCAGGUUGUUAUAUUUCCAGUUGUGUUGUGUGUAUUCAAACUCCGAAGUGAGAUCUGUGUUGUUGGGCUCAAAAAAGAAUUUUUGAUACCACCCACAUCUCUGUGGGGCAGCUGGAAAGGGGUGCUCCCCUAAUACACCACCAGACUGGUUUGGA